GAAUGAAGAACGUAGCGAAAUGCGAUACUUGGUGUGAAUUGCAGAAUCCCGUGAACCAUCGAGUCUUUGAACGCAAGUUGCGCCCGAAGCCAUUAGGCCGAGGGCACGCCUGCCUGGGUGUCACACACCGUUACCCUCGCGCCAACGUCCAUCGUUGGCCGCGGCGCGGGGCGUGCGCUGACCUCCCGCGAGCGGGGUCUCGUGGUUGGUUGAAAAUUGAGUUCGCGGUCGAGGGUGCCGUGAUGAAAUGGUGGAUGGGCGACGCCCGAGGCCAAUCACGCGCGACUCUGUCCGGCUCGGACUCUUGGACCCCUUCGGCGUCUCCGGACGCUCUUUGGCGAGACCUCAGGUCAGGCGGGGCUACCCGCUGAGUUUAAGCAUAUCAAUAAGCGGAGGA
rnacentral:misc_RNA from 1 species